AUGAUAGUAUAUAGCACGAACCUUCCUUCCUCGAGCUCCCCCCUGCCCUCGCCUCGCUGCCCCAUAUCACUGGCUGGCUACUCUGGCGGCGUCGUGCUAGAGCGGGAGAGUGUUCCGGUGUACCACGUGCUCGUGCUUGGAACGCCGUACGUGUCCAUGGAGAUGGAGACCCCGUUGGCGCAGGUGAUGGAUGGCCUGAUCAAGGGGCGGGAGUUUGCGACGCAGCUGCAGGGCCUCCUCCGGGACUCCCCCAAGGCCGGCCUCAUCAUGGACCAGAUCCUCCACGCCUUCUCCCGGGCCAUGCACGCCGCCAAGGCUGCGGCCGCUGCCACGGCUGCUACCAGCGGUAGUGAGAGGUCCUCGGACGUGCAUAGCGAGGUCACCGAUGGUGCGAGCGGCGGCCGGAAGAGGAAGUCCGCCGCCGCCGGAGGAAACCGCAAGGCCUGUCGGAGAAGGACCCAGCAGUCGUCCGUCGUCACGAAGAGUGUGAAGAGCUUGGACGACGGGCAGGCAUGGCGCAAGUACGGGCAGAAGGAGAUACACAACUCCAAGCACUCGAGGGCCUACUUCCGGUGCACGCACAAGUACGACCAGCUGUGCGCGGCGCAGCGGCAGGUCCAGCGCUGCGACGACGACGAGGGCAUGUUCAGGGUCACCUACAUCGGCGUGCACACCUGCCGGGACCCCGCCGCCGCCGCUGUGGCGUCGCACAUGCUCCACCUCACCGGCGCCGCCGAAGGCCUGCACGCCGGCUGCCACCUCAUCAGCUUCGCGCCCGGCAGCUCCACCGCCGCCGCUCCCAGCACGACCACGACGACGAUGACCUUGAACGCCAAGCUGGUCGACGAAGACGCCGCGACGGGGUCCGGCCUGCAGGGCAUGAAGCCUGAGAGCGGCGACCAGGAGGAGGUGCUGAGCAGCCGCACCCCCGGGAACUCUGCCCAGCACAGCACCGCCGCGGCGGCGACGGCGACGGCUCCUGCUUGGCCCGACCAGGGAGACGUGACGUCCACCCGGCAAUACUGUGGCGCCGUUAACUUUGGAGAGUACCUUGAUGACUACACGUCCCUCGGGGACCUAGUGUCCUACGUCCUCGAUCAUUGA
rnacentral:rRNA from 1 species